AGCGAACGCUGGCGGCAGGCUUAACACAUGCAAGUCGAACGGGCACUUCGGUGCUAGUGGCAGACGGGUGAGUAACACGUGGGAACGUACCUUUCGGUUCGGAAUAAUCCAGGGAAACUUGGACUAAUACCGGAUACGCCCUUCGGGGGAAAGAUUCAUCGCCGAUAGAUCGGCCCGCGUCUGAUUAGCUAGUUGGUGAGGUAAUGGCUCACCAAGGCGACGAUCAGUAGCUGGUCUGAGAGGAUGAUCAGCCACAUUGGGACUGAGACACGGCCCAAACUCGUACGGGAGGCAGCAGUGGGGAAUAUUGGACAAUGGGCGCAAGCCUGAUCCCGCCAUGCCGCGUGAGUGAUGAAGGCCUUAGGGUUGUAAAGCUCUUUUGUCCGGGAAGAUAAUGACUGUACCGGAAGAAUAAGCCCCGGCUAACUUCGUG
rnacentral:rRNA from 1 species